UCUGAUUUCAGGAGUAGUUUCCCCUGUUAAAGAUCAAUAAUUCACAACAUACAAUGCGGUAUGCAGUCUGGUCAUCAAUGGAGAGUUUUGACACCUGUAUACCUGUAUUCUACCAGUCACCUCUGUAGCCUUUGUUGUGUUCAUCAGACAGGCUUUAGGUGAAAGUGGUCUGUCACUGAGUCAACAAUUACUGUGAGCCAAUAUUUGGUGCCAUUCACAAGCAGAAAAAUAUACAUAAAGCCAACAUUCAUCAUGUUUGAUCUUAAACUACCAGACUACCAGUGUUGGAUAACGGGAGCCUUGCCCAGUAUUACUCAAACGUGAGCUAUGGGGAUAGAGUCCAGAGAUAUUUCCCUAUGGAUGUGUUUCAAAGAAUUCUGAUGGACCUUGGAGCAGUGUCAGUUAUGGGAGAUAAUUUCACUACUUGUGUUUUUCCAAAAGUUUCCAUGUGACCUAGAGAUGGACUCUGGAUAU